rnacentral:lncRNA from 1 species
GAAUCUCGGGAGUAAAAUCGACCUUCGGGACUUGAGCCAAAAAGACCAGAGCUUCGGGUUUGAACGGACACGGAAAACGAGGCAAAGUUGAGAGAGAGAGAAGAGAAAUGAACCCUUUCUUUGGAAACCCUCGCAUCCUAUUUAUAGUAAGGCUGGUCUGCCUCGGUACGCGGGGCGUACGCUCGUACGCAGCGCGUACGCGUACGUCAUGCAUGACCGAAGCCUCGACUGCCUCGGUUCGGAUGGGACGGGUUGCUGGGUACGCGGGUCGGAUGGGACGCCGGGUCGGAUGGGACGUCGGGUCGGACGGGUCGGGGCUUCGGACGGGUCGGAUGGGUCGGUUUCUUCGGAUAGCGCGACGUGGACGAUCAGAGGCCAAUCCUCUCGGUUACGCGGGGCGUACAGGGGUACGCAGCGCGUACCUCGGAGGAGGAUGCUGACUCCCCUUCGGAUAAUAUCCGAAUUUUGAAUUAAAUAAAUAAUUAAUUUAUUUAAUAAACUUCAAAAAUUCAUAUCUUCUUCAUACGAACUCCGUUUUCGAUGGUCUUUAUAUCCUCGCGUAGGUGAGACUACGCUCUACAACUUUCGUUUAGACUCCGUCGGCAAAUUCCAAAAUUAUAUUUUUAUUAUUUAUUAAAAACCCAUCGUGUUUAAGGAAUUUCUUUGAAAAUUCAUAACUUCUUUAUCUGAUGUCGGUUUUUGCCAGACUUUUUACCGCUGGAAUACCAUUGUCGAGACCUUCGAUUCUCGUUUAGGUCAUUCCGGCCAAAAGUCGCUCGAUCUCCGAUUCGAGUUUUUAGCUGUCUGUUGCUAAGCCGAACUUGGAAAAAUCAUAACUUCGCUAUAUGAAGUCGGAUUUGGGCGUUCUUUUCACGUACGAUCAUGGUUCAAAGACAUUUAAUCAUAGAAGGAAAUUAAGUAGAACUUAUUUAUACAUUUUAUUAUGAAAGUAACUUUUUAUUAUUCAGAAGUGGUUACAAUACUUGACCCAUUUUGGUCGUUACAAAGAGUUGAAAUAUCGGGUUGUCACAUCAUCCCCCCGUUAGAGAGAAUUUCGUCCCGAAAUUUAAAGUAGUAAAGAUACUAGUGAACAUGAAAGAGAUGAGGGUACUUUUGUUUCAUCUGAUCUUCGCGUUCCCAUGUGAAUUCGGGUCCCCGCUUGGCGUUCCAGCGAACCUUCACGAUGGGUAUGCGACUUUGUUUUGUUUGUUUGACCUCUCGGUCCAUGAUUUCUACUGGUUCUUCCACAAAGUUGAGGCUCUCGUUGAUCUCGAUCUCGUCGAGUGGAAUAACAAGAGUCUCGUCGGACAGACACUUUUUCAAGUUUGAGACGUGGAAGGUUGGAUGGAUGUUACUAAGUUCGCGCGGUAGGUUAAGCUUGUAAGCCACAGGGCCGAUUCUGGCAAGAAUCUCGAAAGGCCCUAUGUAUCUUGGAUUUAGUUUCCCACGCUUUCCAAAUCGUAUUAAACCCUUCCACGGUGAGACCUUUAAUAAGACGUGGUCUCCUACCUGGAAUUCCAAAGGUUUCCUCCUUUGGUCAGCGUAGCUUUUCUGUCGGUCUCUUGAGGCUUUCAAUCGUUCACGAAUCUGAACGAUCUUCUCUGUUGUUUCACGUAUGAUCUCCGGACCGGUGAGAGUGCUUUCAGGAACUCUUCCUCUAGCUAACUGGGUAUCGCCAACUUCAGUCCAGCACAGAGGGGAUCUGCACUUUCGACCAUAGAGGGCUUCAAACGGAGCAGCCUUUAUGCUUGUAUGAUAACUAUUGUUGUAUGAAAAUUCGACAAGGGGUAAAUGAAUAUCCCAUGCCUUUCCAAAGUCAAUCACGCAGGCUCUCAGCAUGUCUUCUAAAGUUUGUAUUGUUCUCUCACUUUGUCCGUCUGUCUGUGGGUGGUAGGCUGUACUCAUGUCUAGCCUAGUUCCCAGGGAACUUUGUAGUGACUGCCAGAAUCUUGAAGUGAAUCUACUAUCUCGAUCGGAGAUAAUGGAUAUCGGAACACCAUGCAGUCGCACUACUUCCCUUAAGUAAGUUCUUGUAAGCUUCUCCAUUUUGUCAGUCUCCUUGAUGGGUAGGAAAUGUGCGGAUUUGGUCAAUCUGUCGACAAUGACCCAUAUGGUAUCGAGUCCACUUGUCGUCUUGGGUAACUUGGUUAUGAAGUCCAUAGUAAUCCGCUCCCAUUUCCAUUCCGGUAUCUCUGGUUGUUGUAGUAGUCCUGACGGUUUCUGAUACUCGACCUUAACCUUAGCGCAAGUAAGACAUUUACUCACGAAGGUAGCAAUUUCUGCUUUCAUGUUAGGCCACCAGUACAGUUUCUUAAGAUCCAGAUACAUUUUAUCUGAACCCGGGUGAACGGAAUAUCUUGAGUUGUGAGCCUCGGUCAUGACUACGUUUCUGAAACCACCAUGAUUUGGGGUCCAGAUUCGGUCCAUGAGAUAGUAGGCUCCGCCACCCUUGACUUCUAAAUUCUUCUCCAUUCCUCGCAGGGAUUCACCCGCCACAUUUUCAGGUUGCAAAGCUUCCAUUUGUGCUUCCUUAAUUUGUGUGGAUAAGUGGGAAUGGAUAGUCAUGGUCAGAGAUUUGACCCUCCGACCAGUGUAUUCCUUUCGACUGAGGGCGUCGGCUACUACGUUGGCCUUGCCAGGAUGAUAACGAAUUUCGCAUUCGUAGUCAUUCAGUAACUCAACCCAUCGUCGUUGUCGCAUGUUGAGUUCCUUCUGAUCGAAAAUGUGUUGAAGGCUCUUGUGAUCGGUGAAUAUAGUACUCUUUGUUCCGUAUAAGUAGUGCCUCCAGAUCUUCAGAGCAAAUACCACUGCUCCUAACUCGAGGUCGUGUGUCGUAUAGUUCACUUCGUGUGUCUUAAGCUGUCGGGAGGCAUAAGCGAUAACCUUCCCUCUCUGCAUAAGAACACAACCAAGUCCUUGAUUUGAAGCAUCGCAAUACACUACGAAGUCUUCUAUCCCUUCGGGGAGGGAUAGUAUCGGUGCGGUGCACAAGGCCUGCUUUAGUGUCUGGAAUGCCUUCUCUUGUUUCGCUUCCCAGUCAAAGGCCACACCUUUCUGGGUUAAUGAAGUAAGAGGUUUCGCAAUGCUCGAAAAGUUCUUUAUGAAUCUGCGAUAGUAGCCAGCUAGACCUAGAAAUUGACGAAUUUCUGUAGGUGUCUUUGGUGCCGACCAGUUCUCAAUAGCCUUAAUUUUGGAGGGGUCCACGUGUAUACCUUUCUCGCUAACAACGUGACCUAAAAAUUCGACUCUUCGAAUCCAAAAUUCGCAUUUAGAGAACUUCGCAUAGAGUUUCUCCGUUCGCAGUGUUUCUAGGACUUUUCGUAGGUGUUGACUAUGCUCUUCCUCACUUCGAGAGUAGAUAAGUAUAUCAUCGAUAAAGACGAUGACGAACUGAUCCAAGUAAGGGCGGCAUACCCUAUUCAUUAGGUCCAUAAAUACUGCUGGUGCAUUGGUUAAUCCGAACGGCAUCACCACGAAUUCGUAGUGUCCAUAACGAGUUCGGAAGGCUGUCUUUGGAAUGUCCCCCUCUAGAACUCGUAAUUGGUGAUAUCCGGAUCGCAGGUCUAUUUUGGAGAAGUAGUUCGCCCCUUGAAGUUGAUCGAAUAGGUCGUCGAUACGGGGUAGAGGAUAGCGGUUCUUGACAGUAAGUUUGUUCAGCUCUCUGUAGUCGAUGCACAUACGGAACGAUCCGUCUUUCUUCUUUACAAACAAGACCGGUGCUCCCCAAGGUGAGAAACUUGGUCUUAUGAAUCCUUUGUGAAGGAGUUCAUUAAGUUGACUGGAAAGUUCCUGCAUCUCUGCUGGUGCAAGACGAUAAGGCGACUUCGCUACUGGGGUAGCUCCUGGAAUUAAGUCGAUUCUGAACUCGACUUGGCGUUGCGGUGGUAAUCCUGGUAGUUCUUCUGGAAAGAUAUCGGGAAAGUCGCGUACUACCGAGAUGCUCUUGAUGUCCUUCAGUUCUUGACUUGUAUCGACGAUGUGCGCUAGGAAUGCUCGACAAUCCUUCCGCAAGCACUUUCGAGCUUGGAUGCACGAAAUGAUGCGAAGGUUUGCACUAGAUUUGUCGCCGUAGAUAACUAAUGUUUCGUUGUUAGGGAGGUUAAGACGGACUGCUUUCUCAAAGCACAUGAUGUCGGCGCGAAGAAGACUCAACCAAUCCAUGCCGACUAUGACGUCGAAACUUUUAAUUUGAACCGGCAUGAGAUUGAUUGGGAAAGAAUGGCCGUCUAAUGUUAACGUACAGCCCAUGUAUAUGCAAUUUGUGUUUUCGGUUUUUCCAUUGGCCAUCUCUACAGUGAAUGAUUUUUCUAACUUGCUAGGUUUAGGUUUAAGUAAAUGAAUAAAGUUUUGACUCACGAAGCUUCUCUCCGCUCCACUAUCGAAUAAUAUGCAUGCGUAUGAAUUAUCGAGAAGGAACGUACCAGCAACUAUAGUUGGGUCAGCUACAGCUUCGUCGUGGCCUAUUGCCAAAACUCGUCCCACACCUCCGGUGCCUGCUGCCUUAGGACAGUUUCUCUUGUAGUGGCCCACCUCGCCACAACCGUAGCAAGCCUGCCCUACACCCGCACCGGGAACUUGAGUGAUCGGCUUUGCGGGUUCCUUGCAGAAACGGGCUGUGUGUCCUUUCCUGCUGCAGUUGGCGCACUGCAUAUCUCGACAAGGUCCAUGGUGGUGGUAAUUGCAUUUGGUGCAUUUUGGGAGGUUACCUAUAUAAGGCUUUGUUGGGUAGGUAUUUGUAGGGGCUGUAGCAGGUACAAUGGCAGCAUUUACUGACACCAGUUGUUUCUUUGCGGAUUCUUGGGAAGACCCACCCUUCCCUUUAAUCCACGCUCUCUUCCUGCCAUUGUUGUUGUUGUUGUUGUUGUUGUUGUUGUUGUUGUUUCCUUUCUGUGGUGCUGGUGCAGAAGUGGUUGAGUUCUGAUGACCUCCGUAGUCGAUCAGAGAUUGUGCCAGUUCCUUAGCACUUUCAAAGGUGUCAGGUUUAGAAGCUAACACGCUUGAUCGCAUUUGGGGCGUCAGUCCCCAGAUGUACCUUUCUAUCUUCUUGCUCUCGGGAGCAAUCAUAUCUGGACAAAGGAUUGCCAGUUCGCAGAAUCUGUUGGUAUAAGUAGCGAUGUCGGUACCCACCAUUCCGAGAGUCCAUAGCUCGUGUUCAAGCUUUUGAAUUUCUCCCCGUGGGCAGUAUUCUCUCAUCAUCAUGGCCUUCAAGCUCUCCCAGCUUAUGGAGUUUGCCACGAUUAGGGUAAGUACUUUAACGUGGCCAUUCCACCAAGUUAAAGCUUUAUCGAGAAGGGUGAAAGUUGCAAAUUUGACCUUGCUGUGCUCGGGGCAGGAGCAGAUUUCAAAGACUGCCUCCGUCCUUUCAAUCCACUGCCUCAGGGCCAUCACACCACCAGUACCAUAAAACAUCCGGGGCUUGGCAUUAGUGAAGUCCUUAUAGGUGCAUUCUCGAGGUGGUCCAUGACUCUCGCCAUGGUUGGAUAGGUGUGUGCCAGAUCCCGAGCCAUUAGUACUCGAGUUAUUGAUCUGUGACAUGGCAGCUGCCACCGCUGCGGUGACUGCUGCUUGAAACAUUACAGCAUCAAAUUGGGGUGGUGGAGGUGGUGGUGGUAUAGGUGCUUCCUCACCGUUGUUUCGCCUUGGAUUCCUACGCGGAGGCAUCCUUCAACUAUAGAUUGAAAAGACAAGGAUAAGAAUUUCAUAGAAUGGAAAAUGUAUGUGUCUCAUGAACUAAAUCGCUAUAGUUCAACAACAGAUGAUAGUAUGAGUCUUAAAAUAGAAGAAUGAAAGUUAUUUGUAAGACUGAAGGUAUGAAACAAGUAUUUGGGUUCACAAAGACCAUUCAAGGUUCGAACGAAAUACUCAACAUAGUAGUAAUAGUGCCACUUAUAUUAAUAUAAAAGUUGUUACAACGAUCAUGAAAAUUUGACCCCUAUAAGGGUCUCCGAUUACAAAGUUCGAGAAAUUUAAAGACUUUUAGCCGAGGUCCUAAGCUAUAACAAAAUUUGAGUCCUUGACAAGCACUACUUGCGUCGAAGGUUGCGCUUGGAGCUUGACUCCGUAUCUGAUUGCUUUGACUCCAUUAGACGCCUAUCGAAAGCGGCUUGUUGUUCCCUUAGUUCGGCGAGGGCUGCAAUCAUUUGCGCUUGAAACGCUUCGGUUUGGAAUUGAGCGUUGUCUUGCAUCUUGUCCAGCCUACGGAUGUCAGAAGUGUGAACCUGCACUUCCACGUUGAUAUCCCGGAGUCGACUAGCUUGUACUCCAGACUGAUAGGACUGAUUGGCUAACUUACCCACCAUUACCGGGAGUGCUCGAUCAGCCGAACCUCCGCCGCGGACAUCAUAGAAGUCCCGGCACAUGCCGUAGGGAGGGCGUAGGUUUUGCUGUUGGCUCCAAUGGUGGAGGUGACUUCCCCAGACGGGAGUCGGUCCUUGAAAGUUCCUUACGAAGACGGGAGGUUGAAUGGGUGGUGGAUCGAUAACUUCCGGCUCUGAGUCGGUACCGGAGUCAUCACCCACUUCUAUGGGUUCCUCGUCCUCUUCGGGAUCAUCUUCGAUCCAUCCUCCGUUGCCUUGGUUGGGAAAGUAGGGGUCGCCAGGGUGGUGAAAUCCAGCCAUUUGACUGUACGAGAAAUAGGGUUAUAAGAAUUGAAUAAAGUCGGAACAUGUAAAACAUGUAAGUUAAACUAGUUUAGAUAGCAAAUACUCCUAUAGUAUUUAAAUUCUUGUGUUUGAUUCUUGUAAUGGUUUGGUAAGUUUUGACUUGUUGCUUACUACGAUCAUUCCUCGAUAUACGUUGGUCCAAUCUUGGGCAAAUAUAGUUGAUCACGCUAUAUUUGUCCAAAAUCUGAUUACAUAUAUCGAGUCUCAAUCGUAGUGUCAACUUGUCUAAAUACUUGUAUAGUUGUAUAACAUGAAAAUAGUUUGUGGUAUGCAUGUAAUUGUACUUAAAUGAACUAUCAAUUUAAGUUGAACGAAAUGCUGCUUAAGUGUAAAAAGAAAAUUUGUUUUGUCAGAGAGUAUUAGUCCCUUAAGCAUUUAUAGUUUGUAUAUCUUAUGUGGUUCGAUAUACUUAGUUCACUAUAAACAUUGCUCUGAUACCAAUCUGUCACACCCCCAAACCUGAACGGCGGAAACGUUCGGGGGCGGAUGACUUCAUGUGGUAACGUAACAAAUGAAUACAUAGUAAAGAAAGCAAUACAACCAUCAUAUAUAUAAUUGAAAGUUUACAUUUGUCAAAAGUUACAUGUUCAAAACUCAAUUACAAUAUGAUGUCAAAAAUACGAGAUUAAACUGGCGCCGCAGCAUCCCUUCAUCAAAAGCGUAAUGAAUACCUGAAAUUACUGAUUUCCUGGGACAUACAAGUAAUUUUGAAAGAGUAGAUCAGCAUUUAAGCUGGUGAGUUUCAUAAGUAUUUAAAUGACAAUGUUUGAAUGAAAUGAAAUGUUUUGUCUUUGUUUGUUUGUGUUUAGAAAAUCCUAUAUUUUCUACUAGUAUAAUAGUAGCCUUCACUCAAGACCAAUGUUUGUUUCUAAAAUGUAUGUAAGUGUAAAAUAACCAAUGAGUUUGAAAACCUUGUAAAUCAAUGCAUUUUUAAUACCCCUUGUGAGUUUUAUAACCAUACUAUUGACUCGGAAUGCCUAUACACAACGUUCUUCAGGCGUUGGAAUGUUAUGACGUUUGUCACCCCAAACGGUGGACUGCAGCUAACAGUCAGGGCGCGGGUUGUCAAGCCCGUAUAGAUCUAUACACAAACACCAUGCUCCCCCUCCAAGGGAUUCUGGUAUAUAAUACAGGACUUGAAAUGUGUACUCGAACGUACAUGAAGUUAGUGUCUCACAAAACCGUGGUAUAAAAACAGAUCUACUUGUUAAAAUGUUACGUUUGUUCUUGUAUACGAAAGUAAACUUCUUGAAAUUCAUGUUUCUAGUACAUAAGAGUUAGAAAUUUGUUCGUAAAACUAUACCUAUUAUAGUUUUCUAAAAGUGUGUCUUGUUUGUUUAGAAAUACCUAGAAAAGGAAUCACUUGUUUAUGAAAGCAUAGAUUUUUGGUGUAGAGUCCAAGAUAGACAAGAAUAAUCUAAGAAAAGUUUAGUUUAUACAUGCAUUACAACAAAUUUAUAUUUCAAAAGAUAGAAUGCUAUUUUAACAUAUGUUAUAUAUAUGAAAGUUCCUUAAAGGUUUAUAAAUCGCAUGUGAUUUGGAUAUAUAACAGCAUAUAAAAGAGUUUCUUUAUGUAACACACGAUAAUACUCGUGUGUUUUACUUGUAAUCCCCCCCUUGAAAGCAUAUAAAAGAAUUUAUAAAAUAUUUAAAAGGUAAAUUAAGGGGUAUGAACUCACUUGAAAGUUUGAAGAUAGCGAGAUGGAAAACCGGGCAGAGUUUCGUCUCGGGAAACGGAUUUUCCUCGGGAUUCUCGGGAAUCUCGGGAGUAAAAUCGACCCUCGGGACUUGAGCAAAAAGACCAGAGCUUCGGGUUUGAACGGGCACGGAAAACGAGGCAAGAUUGUGAGAGAGAGGAGAGAAAUGAGCCCUUUUCUCGGAAGCCCUCGCAUCCUAUUUUUAGGAAGGCUGAACUGCCUCGGUACGCGGGGCGUACGCUCGUACACAGCGCGUACGUGUACGUCAUGCAUGACCGAAGCCUCGACUGCCUCGGCUUCGGAUGGGACGGGUUGCUGGGUACUCGGGUCGGAUGGGACGACGGGUCGGACGGGACNGACGGGUCGGACGGGUCGGACGCCUCGGAUAGGGCGACGUGGACGAUCAGAGGCCAAGUCUCUCGGGUACGCAGGGCGUACAGGGGUACGCAGCGCGUACCUCGGAUGAGGACGCUGACUCCUCUUCGGAUAAGGUCCGAUUUUCAAUUAAAUAAAUAUAUAAUUUAUUUAAUAAACUUCAAAAAUUCAUAUCUUCUUCAUACGAACUCCGUUUUCGAUGGUCUUUAUAUCCACGCGUAGGUGAGACUACGCUCUACAACUUUCGUUUAGACUCCGUCGGCAAAUUCCAAAAUUAUUUUUUUAUUAUUUAUUUUAAACUCAUCGUGUUUAAGGAAUUUCUUUGAAAAUUCAUAACUUCUUUAUCUGAUGUUGGUUUUUGCCAGACUUUUUACCGCUGGAAUACCAUUGUCGAGACCUUCGAUUCUCGUUUAGGUCAUUCCGGCCAAAAGUCGCUCGAUCUCCGAUUCGAGUUUUUAGGUGUCUGUUGCUAAGCCGAAUUUGGAAAAAUCAUAACUUCGCUAUAUGAAGUCGGAUUUGGGCGUUCUUUUCACGUACGAUCAUGGUUCAAAGACAUUUAAACAUAGAAGGAAAUUAAAUAGAACUAUUUGUACAUUUUAUUACUCAAAAGUGGUUACAAUACUUGACCCUUUUUGGUCAUUACAAAGAGUUGAAAUAUCGGGUUGUCACACAUAUAAAGAAGCUUGUUUCUCUUUUUUUAGAACUAGUCAAAACACCAGAGAAAGUAUCUCCAAUAAUUUGAGUUUGUGGAUGAUCUUUUGUCCAUUUUGUCAAAGGUGGAUAUUUCAGAUGAAUUCAGGAUUAAUUUCAACAUAGACUACUUCAACUUUCAGUUUCUCAUCAAUAUCUUCUUGUAAAAUGCUCUCAUCCUAGAUAUUUGCAUUCGAAGUUAAAUUAUGC